CAAUGGACGCAAGUCUGAUGGAGCAACGCUGCGUGAGUGAAGAAGGCUUUCGGGUCGUAAAACUCUGUUGUUGGAGAAGAAUGGUCGGCAGAGUAACUGUUGUCGGCGUGACGGUAUCCAACCAGAAAGCCACGGCUAACUACGUGCCAGCAGCCGCGGUAAUACGUAGGUGGCAAGCGUUAUCCGGAUUUAUUGGGCGUAAAGCGAGCGCAGGCGGUUUUUUAAGUCUGAUGUGAAAGCCCUCGGCUUAACCGAGGAAGCGCAUCGGAAACUGGGAAACUUGAGUGCAGAAGAGGACAGUGGAACUCCAUGUGUAGCGGUGAAAUGCGUAGAUAUAUGGAAGAACACCAGUGGCGAAGGCGGCUGUCUGGUCUGUAACUGACGCUGAGGCUCGAAAGCAUGGGUAGCGAACAGGAUUAGAUACCCUGGUAGUCCAUGCCGUAAACGAUGAAUGCUAGGUGUUGGAGGGUUUCCGCCCUUCAGUGCCGCAGCUAACGCAUUAAGCAUUCCGCCUGGGGAGUACGACCGCAAGGUUGAAACUCAAAGGAAUUGACGGGGGCCCGCACAAGCGGUGGAGCAUGUGGUUUAAUUCGAAGCAACGCGAAGAACCU
rnacentral:rRNA from 2 species